GGGGGUGCUUUGGUUUCGACAGGAAUGUCAAAGCGGAAGUUGCAAGCAGAGGUCUCCGGUGGCCUCUUUAAAAACCGGAAACAAGAUAAGUGCCAACGACACUUACGCUCUGGCUGCCUAAUUAACGGCAACCCUGCAGUCGAUCCCCCGCCUUGC
rnacentral:tmRNA from 1 species